rnacentral:tRNA from 1 species
GAGGGUAUAGCUGAAAUGGUAGAGCACACGCUUUGCAUGCAUGUGGUCAUGGGUUCAAGACCCAUGUACCUCU